GGCGUGAUCGUAUAGUGGUUAGUAGACUGUGUUAUGUCCGCAGUAACCCAGGUUCGAUUCCUGGUCACGGCA
rfam:Nematostella vectensis strain CH2 x CH6 NEMVEscaffold_113_Cont13469, whole genome shotgun sequence.